GGCUACCUUUACACACACCAUUUUGUAUGACGCUUCUGAGUGACUUGCUAUCGAUCUCGCGCCACCUAUUGUCUAACUGUUUUAUUAAUGUACAUUUGGUAGUCUAGUCACAUUCACAACAUUUCCCCCCCUGUUUAAAAACAAGUUUACAAGUCUAAUUUUUUAGGCGGUUUAACAAUUCUUCCCGACUUAGUAACUACAUUAUUUGUCUUAGGAGAUUUAUUAAUAAAAACGGACGGUUAGGUUGUAAGUGUCGGUUCUUCUAUAACAGGUCUCUCGAUAUCAGCUAUAGGUGACUUUGGUGUUUCAUUACAUAUCGGAGUGUUGACAAUAAUAUUUUCAUUUGCAUUACCUAGUUCUUUAAAACAUGUUUCAUUAGAUGUUGUUACAUCCUUCUCUUUAUUAAUCUCAUUCUUAUUACUAGUCUCAAUAUUAAUACUACCAUAAGGGUUAGAUCUAAUGUCAUUAACAUGAACAAAUUUUACGUCAUUAUCACGUUGUAUUAAAUAAGUUGAGUGACUUAUUACCUUUACAAUCUUACCCUUUCGCCAUAACUUGCGUUGUUUAUAUGGUAAUUCAAUAUCUAACACUGGUUUUGCUGUAGUCUAACUUUUGAAGACAAUUCCUCAGUUUAACAGCUUGUGUGUGAAUUGCAUGGAUUUCAGAUGGUCAGUCAUUGUGCAACUAAACUGGGGUCAUUACAUUAAUAGUAAAUAUUUGUCACAUGUGGGAUAUUAUCAGACCAACAUAAAUUUGUGUAUUAUUUCCCCAAUAUGCUGUUAAUAUAUCUCAAUGAUUUCGUAUUUGUGAUGUGUAGUUUAGGAACCAGUCUUUUAUGGCUGUGCUAUGGAUAGGUACACAAGCGUUCUACCAAGAAUAAUUGCCAGAGUGUUUGAAUAAUUCUUUGUGGAACGCAUGUGUACGUGCAACUUAUACAUUUUGGGAUCUGCUUUUUUGAUCAUUUGUUUUAUUAAAACUCCCAAAAUGUAACUCAUCCUUAUAACUCUGCUUAUUUUUCUGUGUACUGGAUAUCAUGCAACUCUCCGCAUAAUUAUUAUGAGUCGUUCAAACUUCUGUAUAAGCAUCAUUUUUAAAAUUAUAACCAAGAACCCAAAUAUUAAUAAUCUAAUUUUCACACAAUGUUUUGAAUUUUCAAGAAUCUCAUGAUGCUAUCAUGCUUAAGUCAUGAUACUCAAUGUCCAUAAUAAUUGUUUGGAAAAGGACUCAUCUUGGCCAAAGAGGUUGAGAUGAGAUAUUUUCAAGAUAUAUUUCAAAAUAUGACAUAAAAUUUCACCAUUAUGAUUACAAGAUAUGAGCCAAGAUCGGCUUAUAAAAUAUAAACUUUGGUUUAAUAUUGGUAUUACGAUAAUAUUGGAUUCAGAUGCUUUGUCGAAAAUUAAGAUUACUUUCUUAUGGUUCCAAGUCAAACUUGGAUAUUGGAGUUUUUCUUACUAAAAAUGUUCAAAUUAAAACAGCUCUUUGUUAUUUCUCGCAUUUUGUUGUUUUUCUGCUCACCAACCUGUUUGCUUUAUAAUUAAGUGGUGCACCCAAGUGUGAGAUGCUUUCAACAGUAGCAGAUAUAAAUUAUUGUCGUUUCUUGGGAUGUAUAAGGCCCAUCUGUGACUGUCGACGGCUUAUUAUUAUCUAUUGCGGUUCUGGCUUGGUAAUAAUAAAUUCGUUAAUUUCUAAUAACUUAUCUUUGUUUGUCCUUUUCUCCUUUAUAUAUUUUGAACUAUAAUCAAAGUCCAUUAUACCAGUUGUUAUUUAAAGAACAUAAAUAAAAUAAAAUGAAGUUGCAAGUUAAAAGACGUUGAAAGUUCUGUGUCUACAUAUAAAGUCAGUUUAUAUGUAGACACAGGGAUUUUUUUCAAUUUAUUGCAUUUUACCUGUCUCUGCAAUUGUUUCUUUGACGUUACUUCUCUGUAUCUAUUUUGGACGGUUUUUAGAUUUAAGUAGUCUUUCUAGCCACUUGUCCAGAGCUUGAGCAGACUGCUUAUCAUUUAUAAUCAUAAAACAAAAAAAAUUUUCAUAAAAAAUAAAAAUAGUAUCAUAAUAUAUUUCUUAAAUUUCAACAUAACUACAAUUUACAAAUAUAAUAAAAAAAUGUAUAAUAUUAUUUUAUUCCUUGGCAUAUUUCUCGUUUGAGUGAAUUUUUUUAGUAGAUUACUGUCGUUGUUUAAAAUGUUGCGCAAAAUUUCACAACAGACCAGAUAAUACAGCUAUUAAAAUGACGUGCAUUCUUUUAAUCAAAUUAAUGUCUACCUUCGUAAUUUCCGGAGAAAGCUCUGGAUUAACAAAGAAACGUCUUGCAGUGUUACCAUCAUUUGUAUUUCCAAAUCCUGGCUUGGGUAUAUUUACCAUUAAACCACAUUUGUCCCUAAAGAGUUUUUGAACCUCGAACUUGCCACUUCUUAUGGGGAUUUUAUAAGAUAAAUGCAAAAGGCAUUCAAAAAAUCGAAUCCAACCAUGUACUACUGACAUCCCGAAUUGUAAAUAUGUAAUCAGAUAUUAUUUCUCUAUUAAUCAUUAGAUCAAUAGAAUUAAAGCUUUUCGAUGUUGCGCCACAAAUAUAACAUUUAUGUGUAGAAGAAGUUUCAGUUAGUGAAUUGCAUACUUUGCCAUCAAUCAUAGAAAAAAUUAGCUUAUGACUAACUGAAAUUAAUUUUCCAUUAUAAGCUAAAUCACUGUUCUGUAUAUUUGUGAUUUCUUUAUCAACUCUAUUUUUUUCUAGCAUGGAAACUUUUGUAGACUCCUUAAUAAAGUUGAUUUUUAAAGGUCUGCAGAAUCUUGUAGAUGAUGGGCGAGGAUUUUACCAAAUUAUCUCAGAGCUAUCGCGUACCAAACGAAGCGGUACAAAGCGAUGUUAUAAACACAGAUGAAUCGCUUGUUUAUAGAAACUGUGGUCGGAGCUGCCAUCAAACCCCCACUUGGUUAUUAAACAAAGUUUACUCAAAUCCUUCUCAUCUAGUGAAUUUAUGACAUCCUUUUGUACAGUAAUCAAACAUUCUACGGUAUAAUUUAGCAAAGCUUGUAAUUCAACUUCUGCUGAAGUCGUUGUGAUAUUUACACUUUCCUUAUUUGGAAAGCAUUUCUUUUUUUUUUCCUGUACAACUUUGUAGGAUGGGUAUAUGUCAGGAUUUUGCAUUCUAAUAAUGUUGUAUUGACGUCUAGUUUAGCUUCAACCAGUGGAGCAUUUUCUGCUGACAUUUGACAAGAACGAAAUUCUUCCUGAAAUUUGUAAGCAUUCAUGUAUUUGCUUGCUUGUGUUGAAGGAAGUGCUAGUAAUUUCUUGCGGUGAUAGAUGCGAUGGUAAUAUUGAUGAUCUGACAUACCAAUAACCAUAUUAUAUUACUGUGCACCAUCACUAUACAGAAAGUGAGUCGAUUUAUUGGCUCACUUUACUUAACCACUUCAUGCACACAUUAAUUUGAAAUUUUCUGUCAAAAAAUUAUCCAUUUUUUUUCUUUUAUAAAUUUUGAACACAUAAA